rnacentral:rRNA from 1 species
AUUGAACGCUGGCGGCAUGCCUUACACAUGCAAGUCGAACGGUAACGGGCCUUCGGGUGCCGACGAGUGGCGAACGGGUGAGUAAUGUAUCGGAACGUACCUUUCAGUGGGGGAUAACGUAGCGAAAGUUACGCUAAUACCGCAUAUUCUGUGAGCAGGAAAGCAGGGGAUCGCAAGACCUUGCGCUGAUUGAGCGGCCGAUAUCAGAUUAGCUAGUUGGUGAGGUAAAGGCUCACCAAGGCGACGAUCUGUAGCGGGUCUGAGAGGAUGAUCCGCCACACUGGAACUGAGACACGGUCCAGACUCCUACGGGAGGCAGCAGUGGGGAAUUUUGGACAAUGGGGGGCAACCCUGAUCCAGCCAUGCCGCGUGAGUGAAGAAGGCCUGGUGUAAGACUCUUCGUCGGAGAAAGUACGUAUGGGUUAA